CAGGAAUCCCCAGGACAGGAGGAAGAACAGCACGCUGCUGCAAAGUAACUGUGACAUGCACAUAUAGAAGAUAUGCUUUGUGGUAAAGAAUAAGUGGGCAUCCGAGAAUACUUACCUACCCAUAGAAAUGGUGAUCAGGAAAACAGGAGUACAAUUAAAAAGUGCAUUAGUGCAAAGAAUGCUGGAAGAUGCCCUUAGACAGAUUGUUACCUGAGGCAACCAGCCGAGUGGAAAACGAGCAGAGUACAUGUCUGGAGUUUUGAGAUUGUAGCUGGAGACCUCCCUUCCAUUGAGUACCAAGUUGUGAAGAAAAAGCAUGCAAGUAAUACUUUUGAAGUGUCACUUCUUUUUGAAAAUGUCAUCUAGCUUAAUGCACUACUCCCAAAUGUAUUAUUACUAUGUGAGGUUGGUAAAAUGAUGUCUGGUAUCAUUGGAUCAUGGGGCUCCUUCUUAAUGUCCAGAAUGCAUAAGUUGACAGCUAUAAAAACAUACUUGUGACCUUUAUCUGCAAAAAAAAAGACAUUUAAAAAAUGACUUGAUGUAAGACUUAAGGUAAAGACACACAA